rnacentral:lncRNA from 1 species
CACACACAAGAACAGAACAGACUGGAGACCAUUAGGCUGCAAAAGAGAGCCACUGCUGGAAGAUGCUCUGCUGAAGCGGAAGCUGAUGGAAGAAGGCCUGGCUCAGGGGAAGCUUUCAGAGCACCUGUGCUUAGUGACUUUGGAGAGGAAGUUGCUCAGAGCCGUUCCUGGAUAUUGCAAGACUUUAGUUCCCGUAGCCUCUCUAGUGACCUAGAGGAAACAAACCACUGUAAUUUAAAAGUUACAGGUUACACAGAUACUUCUUGGUAGAGUUCUGGCUGCCAGUUCCCUAAAAAACAUACAAAGCCCCAAUAAAAAGACAGCCAAGCA